UCUGAGGUAUCUGAGAGGUGCGCUAAGUCAAUCAAACUAUUUGAUUGUUUGGUUUUUCCAUCUCGAUGUGACCAUGACUUCGACAGUUCUGGCUGAUAUGUCACUUAGUAUGGUGGUUGUUACUUUCGUCGAGUCAUAAAUCAUAACAAGGAAUGCAGAGCAACAACAUGAAUAAACGGCAAAAGACGCUGAUGACGUUACAGGAAAUAUAUCGACAAUAAAAAAUAUGUAAAAUCAGUGAGCAGUUGGACGGGUGAACAGUUUGAAUUGCCCGACAUAAAAAAUGAUGUUUUGCGAUGAAGAAGUUAUUUGUCAAAUAACAGUUACAGUUACAUUAGAGAAUACUUAAAAAUUUACGAAGUCUAUUCAAAAGGGAAAUAAGCUGUGCCGGCUGAGUAUGUGGUCCACUUACUAACGAAUGAAAUGCGAGUAUCGAAUGAGUAACGACUAUGUAUGUAUAUAGAAAACGAAACACACACGUGCUGGCGACAAUUUAACAGUGUAAGUAAAAAGAAUGCCGACUGUUGAUAUGCUAACUGGGCUCAAACUGACUCGAUUUUCUUUGUUUUCCGUUGUAAGCUCACCGUCGUCGAAGAUAUCGUUAGGCAAGCGGCGACUUAAAUAUACGAGCACGCAUACUACAACGCAGCGAUAAUUUUCAUAAAAACAACAUCCGUGCCAACGUUGAUUGGAGUUGGCGAAAGCAUUUUUAUGCAAUUUCGGUGGUUUGGCGGUCAGAGCGCAAAUACUCGCAAUAUAAAGAAAAAAAAAAACGAAAACACACUCACUCAGUGAGCGAUAGAAUUGAGUAACAUCCACAAAGGCUGUCGAACACUGCAGUUAUUAUCAAACAACCGCGGCUAAAAUCCAACAAAAUAAUCAGUAGUCAAAUCAAUGACGAAUGAAUGUCUCGAACAAACGAACAAAACAACAGUACAAAAAAAUUAUCAUAUUCAUGAUAAAUUUGUGUUAAAUUGUUGACGACCAAACUACUAUGAAAAUAUAUGAUAAGGCUAACAAUCUUACGAAAAUAAUAUUUAGAGGUUAAUAUUUUUAAACUAGAUAUUUAAAAAACAAUGUUUUGGAAACUUUUCUUUUUGAUUAUUGGCACCCCAUGCUUCUGAACAAAUAUUAAAGCACUCAAAUUUUGUUCGCACUUCAUAAAGUUACCGUGACUGCUGAAGUAUUGAUCCGAAAUAAGCGCGGAAAAUAUAAAGCGAAUCGUGACAUCGGACAGGAAAGCUAUGAAGUGAGCAUUUGCAAAAAAUACGAUUAAAGACAAUUAAAAACUAGCACUAACCACGAUACAUGACAAAUAACAAUUAUUAUUUAUAAUAAAUUGUGUUGAAAAUUAUAAUGGUAUAAAACCCGAUUACUAUUAAAUAGUACUUCGACCUAAACCGACCGUUCAGAACGUUAUAUAUACACGUACUAUAUAUGUUUUGAUAAAUUGAGCGAAUAUAGCGACAUGAAUGUCGUUGAUUUUGUCUGCUACCACUACUGACACUAAAAAAUAUUUGAGUAUCGCAACGGUUGGAAUAAAUUGUAUAUGCAAGCAAGUGAGCGUUGGAGCGUACGACGGGUAAACGAACGGGUGAUACGAAGAGCAAAAACAUAUAGCUAACCGAUGUAUAAAUAUAUGAAGUCUGAGCGGGUAUAGAACGGAGCUGGAGCGCUGCUAAUUGAGUAUCGGCUCACAAUUUGCAGCGACUGGGGUUUUGCGGAUUGAAAUAUCGAGUGUUGCCAGCUGAAACAACAUGAAGGAGAUCUCAUGAAAUGUUACUUGCCAUAGAAUUAAAAUAUAACGUUAAACUACGGUACAUCACACAUUUUUUUAACCAUAUUAUUACCAAAAU